rnacentral:misc_RNA from 1 species
GAUGAAGAACGUAGCGAAAUGCGAUAAGUAAUGUGAAUUGCAGAAUUCAGUGAAUCAUCGAAUCUUUGAACGCACAUUGCGCCCGCCAGUAUUCUGGCGGGCAUGCCUGUUCGCGCGUCAUUUCAACCAUCAAGCCCUGCUUGCGUUGGGGUCCUGCGGCUGCCCGCAGGCCCUGAAAACCAGUGGCGGGCUCGCUAGUCACACCGCGCGCAGUAAUACAUCUCGCUUUGGGCGUGCGGCGGGUUCUUGCCGUUAAACACCCCCUUUUUACCAAGGUUGACCUCGGAUCAGGUAGGAAUACCCGCUGAACUUAAGCAUAUCAAUAAGCGGAGGA